GAGUCACCGGAAGUGUCGGCCUCUGCUUCCUGAUUGGUGGGAUUUAUGUGAAAGACUUGGAGAUAACUGUAUUCUACUGGCUUUAAGGAUGAAAAGGAGGGCUCAUUUGUGGAAUUCGGCCCAACCAAACUCUAAAGGGCAUUAGUAACGGCGCCUAUUUCAAAAAUCCACAUCGAGUUCAAACAGGCCAGAACCGAUUAUGGAGCUGAGCGUGUGUGUGUUUAAAAAAAAAAAAAAUUCUCGACUUGAAUUAUUUGUUUUCUAAUCCUAAUGGCUUCCCGAAAAAAGGUUUAAACCGUGGAUGAAGCAUUGGACCAAAUUACGGCUGAGUUUUGAGCUGAGGACGGCAAAUGAAGACCGUGUUUCUGUCAGACAAUGGGACAACUAAGAGUGCCGCAGCUUGACAAAAGAGUCUCAGCGGGCACACCAACAUGACGGUUCAACCCCCCCACACCCCGGGCCGGAGUAAAAUUGUCAAGCGUUGACCGGUCCGCGGUGAUAUAAAAGUUGGGGAUCACUGCUGUAGAAGAUACCUCCAGAUCUAAAACUGGUAAUCUACUAGUUAACUGUUUAGGAUGUUCACCAUUCAGGCAUUAGUGCAUAUCUGAUUCUGGUACCAGUGGAUCAUCGUGAACAUGCCAGAGAAAAGCCUCCACUGAUAGCAGCAAAAAUGGUACAACAAAAAAUAUGACGGCUGUCAGCUAACAUAACAGCAGUAAGGUGGUGCUGGAGCUCUCAGGUGUGCUGGGUGACAGGUGCGACUUAUUCCACUGAUUACUAUG